UACGGGGGGGGCAAGCGUUGUUCGGAAUUACUGGGCGUAAAGGGCUCGUAGGCGGCCAACUAAGUCAGACGUGAAAUCCCUCGGCUUAACCGGGGAACUGCGUCUGAUACUGGAUGGCUUGAGGUUGGGAGAGGGAUGCGGAAUUCCAGGUGUAGCGGUGAAAUGCGUAGAUAUCUGGAGGAACACCGGUGGCGAAGGCGGCAUCCUGGACCACAUCUGACGCUGAGGCGCGAAAGCCAGGGGAGCGAACGGG
rnacentral:rRNA from 1 species